GCGAUUCCUGCAAUCCACAUUGAUCAUCAAGUGAAAUACUUCAUCCUUGUCUUCCUCGUUGGCCUUUGUUUCACUGUCUUGUACAAGUGUCUUGAUCAAGCUUACCCAAAUGAAAGCUAGAGUCACCACGAAGGUAGAAACAGGAGAUUGAUUCUCAGACUGCUCUGUAACCCAACUUUUUAGAUUAUCUAUCUGCUUCCGGCUCAAUGUAAAAGUGGCUCUGACCAUGUUCUCAGGCGUAACAUGUGAACUGUGUUUUGCAGAGUUUUGGCUCCAAAACCGCUCCAAAUGUCCUGCGCCUACCUCGCCUGGGUCCUUGAUCAUGUUUCUGCAGCUGUGAAUAGGCAGAGAGGGUAGAAGAACCGUGGCGGGAUCUUUACCG
rnacentral:lncRNA from 1 species